GACGAACGCUGGCGGCGUGCUUAUCACAUGCAAGUCGAGCGGAAAGGCCCUUUCGGGGGUACUCGAGCGGCGAACGGGUGAGUAACACGUGAGUAAUCCGCCCUUGGCUUUGGGAUAACCACCGGAAACGGUGGCUAAUCCCGGAUACGACCACUCCCGGAAGCGGGGGGUGGUGGAAAGUUUUUUCGGCCAGGGGUGGGAUCGCGGCCUAUCAGCUUGUUGGUGGGGUAAGGGCCUACCCAGGCUUCGACGGGUAGCCGGCCUGAGAGGGUGACCGGCCACACUGGGACUGAGACACGGCCCAGACUCCUACGGGAGGCAGCAGUGGGGAAUAUUGGACAAUGGGCGGAAGCCUGAUCCAGCAACGCCGCGUGAGGGAUGACGGCCUUCGGGUUGUAAACCUCUUUCAGUACCGACGAAGCGCCGAUGACGGCGGUGACGGUAGGUACAGAAGAAGCACCGGCCAACUACGUGCCAGCCGCCGCCGUAA
rnacentral:rRNA from 1 species